AGGUAAUUAGUUUAAAUAAAAUAUUUGAUUUCGGCUCAAAAGCUUAUGGUUAAAAUCCAUAAUCACCUU
rnacentral:tRNA from 1 species